CACGUAGGGUGCGAGCGUUGUCCGGAAUUAUUGGGCGUAAAGAGCUCGUAGGCGGUGUGUCGCGUCGGCCGUGAAAACCUGCAGCUUAACUGUGGGCUUGCGGUCGAUACGGGCAUCACUGGAGUUCGGCAGGGGAGACUGGAAUUCCUGGUGUAGCGGUGAAAUGCGCAGAUAUCGGGAGGAACACCAGUGGCGAAGGCGACUACCUGGCCUGUUCUUGACGCUGAGG
rnacentral:rRNA from 1 species